GUUUGAGCCUUUCUUUCUCAUAGGGCGGAGGGAAGCUCAUCGGUGGGGCUACGAGCUGAGUGCGUGAUGUCACUCUGUAGCACGUCCCUUGGGAAGGUCUGAGACUGGGGCCAGUGGCGGUCCUAACAGGGCCCUCCCUGAACCGCGGGGAGGUGAGUUCCCAGAGAGCGGGGCUCCGCGCAAGGGCAGACUGGGCAGGAGAUGCCGAGUAUCUCGCCCUCGGGAGGGGCUCGGCGGAUGCCUCCUUAGCCGGAGCUUGGAACAGACUCACGGCCAGCAAAGUGAGUUCAAUGGCUGAGGUGAGGCACCCGGCCCGGGGCCUCAUAACCCAAUUCAGACUACUCUCCCCCGUCCUCUUUUAGAACCAGGCCUGAGCUCACGGUUCUCCCUUCCACACGACGAGUCCAAUAGAAUGCUAGUAACCUGCGCAAUGGGAAGGGGAGAGAAAUCAAGCAAAGGGGGAUGGAGGAGGAGGAAGUGAAGGAUUUUUCAAGAUGUGUUAGUGUGCAGGAGAAUUAGUAAGUGAGGAAGGACUACCGGGUGCCAGAAACGUGGGGCAUGGAGCUGGAGAGGAAGCCGGGCGCAACAAGAAAGCAGGUUUCUUCACCUCCUUACCUCGCUUACCUUUACAGGACUUAAAGGCCAGUAUUCAAAAAUAAAAACUUGAAAACUCUUUAGCAGAAAACUAUGUAAAUAUUUUCAAUUUUGAAGUCUGUAAAUUUCUUAAAACACAAAAAAUUUCAAUUGUAUUACUUAAAAUUUUGUUCAAAAGAUGUAAAGUUUAAGAAGAAAAAGUUAUUUGUAAUACGAAAAAGUUAUUAUGAAUAUUUUAAAAAUCUAGAAGAAACUAAAAUGUCAUGCAUGCCCUGAGCAAGACCUUCUCAGCAAAUAGGCUGUUCUCAGGAAACAGAAAACCCCAACCAGACUAUGCCUCUCUCCGCUGGUAAACAGAACAGAUGUCCAUAAAGAAGACUUAGGACCAGACACACAAUCUCUCUGUUGCAGAGAAGUCCAGCAUUGUCUGCACAUCUGUACUGACCAUCCUGGGAACUCUGACCCCAAGCAUUCCAUCCAUAUUCUUUGAGAUUCUUCAAAUCCUAUAAAAACUUAAUUUUCUCUGGUAGAGCCACUGAAAUCAUUCAUGAUCUCAGCCUUAUUUGCACCUAGGUAAAAUAAACCCAGAACUUUUCUCACAUAAAACCUCUCUCCAGGUAGUUUCUUGUGCAUUAUUAAUAAUAUAAACAUUUUAACUUAAUAUGCUAAGGCAAGACUGAUAUAAACAUAUUUUACAUAUUUUAUAAAUAUAACUCAAGCAAUCAAAAUUUUAGAAAAAGUACUGAAAGAAUUUUGCCCCAAAUGAGAUGCUGUAGCGGUGGGAGGCUGAGAGGCAAAAGGUCAUCUUCCCCACCCCUAAGCAAUUUAUCUGUGGCACGAAAUGAAUUCCAAUGGACUACCUGUGCAUCAGUAAUGCCCCGUAGGUACCACCCAAGACCUAAGCUAUAUAUAUGCCCCCACACCACGUGUCCCACAGAGAGAAAGCCAGACCCCGGAGGUCAUGGAGUCUCUCUGCAUUCUUAAAAUAAAGGCCACUUUUAUUUCAUAUUAUCUUUUUAGCCACGCCGAAAAUUCUAUCAAGUACCAUUCAUUAUAACCUCAAGGCAUAUCAAGAACUUGAAAACUAAAUCUGACAAAAGACUUAAGCUGUACACCUACCCAAGAUAAAAACCAAAUGUCUUGUGACUAUGGAGGAGGAGACAGAUACCUUCCACUGUGGGCCAGAUCCCCAGACAAAAGGCUAAACUGGGCCCUCACACCCCACAGGGAGACCUUCUUAGUGUACAUUUCAUAUUUUCAACAACAGAGAUACAAAUCAAAAGGAAAAAUAACAAUCUGAUCUUUUAUCAGUGACACUUGGAGCUCUAAGACAGGUAAACCAAGACAAGGUGGAGCUGCCUGAGCCCCUCCUGGACCAUGCUUCAAGUGCAACAAAGAAGGACAUUGGACAAGAGAGUGCCCCAACCUUAGUGUUCUUCUGGGGCCUUGCCCUUACUGAAGUCUCAAGGGCCAUUGGAAGAGCAACUGUCCUAGCCACCAAAGAGUGGGUAAGCCAUCCUCUAACUCCUUGCCCUCAUGGGAGAUCUUAUCACUUCUGGAUUCAUUGCUGACUGAUCUACUCAGACUUGCUGCUGAAGACUGAUGAGGCUCAGGGUCCUCAGCCCUCCAUUAAAAUAUCUUUAUCAGAGCCCCAAGUCCCACUGGAGGUCUCAGGAUGGAUAAAAGCCUUUCCCACAACCAGGGAGACUGCUGAUAUAUUUACUAAAGUCCUGUUACAGAAAAUCAUCCCAAGGACUACAACUAAAAUGGAGUGGCCCCUACCCAGUCUUCCUCAGAACUUCAAGGGUGGUCAAAGUUGCUGGACUGCCAUCCUGGUUCCAUAUCACUCAAGCUAAGCAGUGCCCUCCUAACCCUGUCUCCCCUGACCCUACACAUGCUGAGAGGUCAUCUCAUCUUCUAUCUCCCAUCUGUGUCCAUCUCCCCAAGGCCUCACAGCCACAACUCUCAGGCUAAGUCAUGUUUUGUUAUCCAAUUUGGUUCCUAAUCCCUUAUAUUCUAUUAGUUAAUUAUUUUGUACAGCAGGACUCUUGACAGUCUUUCCAAAGACUCCCGCGUCAUGCAUAAAAUCAUCUUCAUGUUCCUCUACGUGACAAUUGUCUUAGUUCUCUCUGCCCCCAAUUGUUUAGUUAAAUAUGAGAUCCCUGUGGGUUUAGGCUCUUAGCUCCCUUAUAGUGACACAGCCACAGUCCUCCCUCCUCUACUGUUAUUUCCCAAAUAUGAUUCCAUCAGGCCUUAUGUUUCUCAUGCCUCUUAUUCUUUCCAGCUCAACUCCUGGACCAGAGACAAGCCCUACCUACCUACAUUUUUAACUUUUACCCUUUAAGAUGGGGGAAUAACCACCUCUCAUAACUUCACUCCUCCUCCUAACCCCACACUUAUUUUUCAGAAUUCUACCUCACCAUGGUCCUGAUGGAAUGGCAUAUUUAAAUCAAAGACACCUUUCCUUCUACCUCUCCUGAGUCCUUAAAUAUGAUAGUGGCCUGCCUCCUCAUAGCACCUUGUCUCUUUGUUUUACCAAUCCAGUAUGUGAGCAUUCACCAAUGAUUAAUUCCUUGUCUUGCCUGAAACACCUGGUACCAGCUUCUACAUGGGCACAAACCAUCCUGUCAACCUUCCUAAACCCCAAUAGGGCACCCCUUUCAGCAGAAAAUAAUAAAACAGUAAGUAAAAUAGUAAGAGAGACUUUGCCCUUUUCCUAACAAUAAAAAGACAGGAAUGAAAGUUUCUUGCUCUAGAAUACAUUUAAAUUACUGUAUGUUUAUGGCAGUGGUCUAACGUGGUGGAAGGCCAAAGUGGAAACACCUAACACUUCCUGCUUCUUCUUCUGCCUUAAUUGCAACUCCCCUUCCUGUCUGCACACGAAGAAAAUUCCAAUCAGCUCCUUGCACAUAAUUAGUGACCACCCUAAGUGCCAACUCCAGUCAGAAGUUAUAUGUAGUUCCCAUACCCCAUGUUCCAGUAGAUGUGGCUAAACCAUCUAUGGUCCUGGACUCCCCUCCACAUCCUUGGAAUAAAGGCUAUUUUUACUUUA